AAAGGGAGACCUAAUUCAGGUAAAAGACGAAAAAAAAGUAGUCGCUACCAAGAAUCAAUCCCAAAAGGUCGGAGCGAGGCGAAAUUGGCUUUCAAACUAGGUUCUGGGUUCAAACAAGACCUGAAUCAGGAACAAGGGCUAUUAGCUCAGGUGGUUAGAGCGCACCCCUGAUAAGGGUGAGGUCCCUGGUUCGAGUCCAGGAUGGCCCACCUGUACAGGUGGCAAAAAGAAAGAAAAGAAGCGAGGAAUCAGCACCUUAUCUUACUUAUAUAGUAAGAGAGAAUGCUGGCUCUGAGUUCAGAGUCCAGAGGAACCUUGAAAACUGCAUAGAGCUAGGUGAAAAAGCCAAAAAAGAAGACCGCAAG
rnacentral:tRNA from 1 species